rnacentral:rRNA from 1 species
GACGUAGGGCGCGAGCGUUGUCCGGAUUUAUUGGGGCGUAAAGAGCUCGUAGGCGGCUUGUCGCGUCGAAUGUGAAAUUUUAGGGCUCAACCCUGACAUUGCAUUCGAUACGGGCAGGCUUGAGUUCGGUAGGGGAGACUGGAAUUCCUGGUGUAGCGGUGAAAUGACGCAGAUAUCAGGAGGAACACCGGUGGCGAAGGCGGGUCUCUGGGCCGACACUGACGCUGAGGAGCGAAAGCGUGGGGAGCGAACAGG